rnacentral:misc_RNA from 1 species
AACGCACAUUGCGCCCGCCAGUAUUCUGGCGGGCAUGCCUGUCCGAGCGUCAUUUCAACCCUCAGUGCCCCCCUUUCGGGGAGGGCGCUGGCGUUGGGGAUCAGCGUCCGCGGCACCCGCCCUCGUGGCGCGUGCCCUGCUGUCCCUCAAAUACAGUGGCGGUCACGCUGCAGCCUCCUAUGCGUAGUAGCUAACACCUCGCACCAGGGACUCUGCGCGGCCACGCCGUAAAACCCCCUACUUUCACAAGGUUGACCUCGGAUCAGGUAGGAAUACCCGCUGAACUUAA